rnacentral:rRNA from 1 species
UACGGAGGGUGUUAGCGUUGUUCGGAAUGACUGGGCGUAAAGCGCGCGUAGGCGGAUCAGGAAGUUGGGGGUGAAAUCCCGGGGCUCAACCCCGGAAUGGCCUUCAAAACUCCUGGUCUUGAGUUCGAGAGAGGUGAGUGGAAUUCCGAGUGUAGAGGUGAAAUUCGUAGAUAUUCGGAGGAACACCAGUGGCGAAGGCGGCUCACUGGCUCGACACUGACGCUGAGGUGCGAAAGCGUGGGGAGCAAACAGG